UUGUUUAUUCUGAUUAUGUCUUUCGGUAAGGUUUGCCAUUUGUUAGGUUUCUGUUCUGUGCCUGCCUGCUCCCACUUCUGUGUCCCCUCUGUCUGUCUAUGGUGUCACAGUGUCUGCUCGUGAAUCUGUCUGUUACGUUCAGUGUCUUGUCUGGUUCUGUGUCUGUGAGUUUCCUGUUUUAUUCUGAAGGUCUCUGUCUCAUGUGAGUGUUCUCAGCUUUACGUCUGUGUCUCGUCAGCCCUGAUUUCUCUCAGGUGUGUUCCCCUCCUGUCUCCCAUCCCAUGAUUACUCCUGUGAGUAUUUAAGCCCUGUGUGUUCUCCUGCUUGUUGCUGGUUUGUCUGUGUUGCUUCCCUGAGUCUCCCUGCGGCUCUGGUCUGGUUUCAGGCCGGCUUUCUUCUUGUUUCUUCACCAGGCUUCUUGAAGGACAGUCGAAAGAUCUUCUUUGAUUGAGGUUCAAGCUCUGGGGAGACUACCAGGACCUGGAUGAACCAACACAGACAUGGUGCAACAUCAGCUGCAUACAGAGUCUUCCAUUUGAUUUGUGAACAUCCAUUUUUGUUGUUGUUGCAGUAAAACUCAGUAAACGUGUUGUUUUGUUGCAAUACUGACACCAUUUACAAUGUUAUGACA